AAUGCAAAAUGCUAACCGCUGCGGAAUAACUGCAGUUUUGUGCCUUGCAUUUGCGUGUGUUGCACUUGACUAAGCUUCUUCGUUACCGUCCCAGUGCGCAGCUAACGUUGAUUGUAUGGCUUGGGUGUUUGCUAACGCUUCUCUUUUCACGAGUACUAUAACCUUUUUGUUGUAGCAUAGCUUGCCCAUUAGCCCAAUCCAGCCAAUGAAAGCGACUUCCAGAUCGGGACGUAAACGAGUACCAGCGCCUAACAGAAUUGUACCGUAACUGGAUUAUACGAAUUAUCUUUCACCACGAGGCAACAGCAUGGCCGAGCCGAUACUUAGCGCUACAAUAAUUACAGAGGUUGCGACAUUAACCUCGGCAACAUGGAUGUGUGGGAAAAACGCCAAUAUAGUGUCUACCAAGGACAAGCUCCUUCUAACUAUAUUCAGUCAUGAUGACACAUGGACAAAUCCGUCCUUAACUAUCAUUGACCUCACCGAUUCAAAGCAGCCUCGUGUAAAAGAGACGACUGUCUUCCAAGGACAUGUUAUGGAUAUACAGAAUAUUAAACUGUUUGCUUUGAGUCCUGAUGAGCGCUUUGGACUUGUGCAAGACGGGGCAAAUGUAGCAUGGUUAGUUGGAAGGGAUGAAAAGCAUGGAGAAAAAAUCAAACUGAAUGAAGGCCGUCCAGCUUGUUUUGCUCAGUGGAUAACUCCCAGCUUUUACGGGAUUGCGCUGAUAUCCGACAGCGAAACCAUCCAUGUAAACGCGCUAAACGAAGUUUAUUUCCAAAAUGAAAGGAUAAGCGAAGUGUCCAAAGGUCUGCCAGUUACUGACUGGCAGAAAUCUUCUGGUGGCGCCUGGUGCUUUAUUGCACUGUUUCAAACUGAUAUUAACCGGCCGAAAGGAUUUUUGGAAAUUUAUUGCCCCAUAAUCAAAAAAACGAGAACGAUGUUUAUUGAUGGUUUUGCUGGUACAUUCGUGUCUUCCGAUUGUGACCUUUAUCACGUAACGUUCAUGGAGGGAACACAAGAGAUCCUGGUUGCCGAUGUAGACUGGCAGGAAGACUGCCUGAUUUUCAAACGCAUCACUCUAGAGCACCCAGACAUAUACGGGAAGGGAAUGUGUGUUUACUGCUAAAAUCACGGAUGCACAAAUCUGUCGGAUCCCGAAGCUAACCGAUGCGCAGCAGCCAUACUGCACCUUUACAACGGAAAAGGAUGUGCCCAUUGCCGUUAGGGUGAAAGACGAUGCAAAAACUGACCGUAUUGCAGUGGUUGUGACCAAAACCGGGUAUCUUCAUGUGUUCGACUACCGUAGCAUGUGCCAUUUGGAGUCGAAGCGAAUUCUAACCGGUGUCACUACCGUUUCCGUUGUGGGACCUUUACAAAAAGGGAUGACACUGGUUAUUGUGGAUAGUGAAGGAAAAGUGUGGGAAGCUGGAGUCUCCCUGGAAAACGUCGUACCGGUGUUAAUCGCAAGAAAUUUACCCGGCGAAGCAGCUACAUACGCAUUGCUGAUUCAGCGUCCGUUGAAGAACGAUGUUUUCAUGUCCGUAUUCUUGGGCCUUUUGCGUCAUGAUACCCCCGAUUUUGGCGUAGUUCUUCCCUUAUGUUUACUGAAUACCGGCCAUUUGACAAUGGUGCAGGGCCAGAAUGUACUCACAAAGUGCUUUAAAGGCUCACUGGGACUGCGGCAGUUUGAAGCGCCUCUAACACAACUUGUUCUCCUACUGCAUGUGCGAGUCAGUUUGGAAUGGGUGAUUACUCUAUAUGGUCCGGCGGGUACCCAUGAUAAAAGACUAUUAUUAUUGCUAAACGCAAUUCCACUCCAUGCGAUGCCCGUACGCGUCCUCCGCAGAUUUAUCGCACUCGCGGUGCAAAAUGGAGAUGUGGAGAGCCUGAUGCGACAUGAAGAAACUGUUGGUAUUCCACAUGUGGAAAAUGUUGUGGGCUUUCUGGUGCAAGGAAACUUCCCACCACUCUCGAUUAAUCCUCUUCUUGAAAAGCUCUGUAUGAGAGGAAAAUGUCUACAAUACACCGGUUAUUUUCCUUCCGCACUGUUAAUGGUCUUCCUGUGCAACUGCGCUUUCUGCUUCAACAACUAGAAUUUACGGAACAAAAAGCGCAAAUUCUUUCAACAAUGACAAACGUACUGAUACCUUUGAUUGUCCGAAACCCCUACAAGUUGAAAAUGGUACGACAGCUAGAUCGUGACCUGAGUGUAGCGCUUCUGGGAAGCAUUCACGGUGACGUUAUGGCGGAGCUUGAUCGACAAGGAAACCGAAUGGCAACAGCACACUUCAUGGAAUAUCUGGCCGGAAAAGGCAUCACUGAUUCAUGCAUCUAUACUUGGUUGAUUAGUUAUUAUGCAUCAGAAAAUCGUUUACGUGAGCUAACGAUUUUCCUGAGAAAUAACCAUUUGUACUCCGCUGCGACAAUUGGCAAAUGGUGUGAAGAGUGCAGCGAUCCCAGAAUCACGCCAGUAGCUCUGAUUACAUAUGAAGAACGGAAGCUUGACGGGGACUAUAUCCGGGUAUCGAAUAAGUUUGGCUACUUCCUGGAGCAAGCGCGUUACCUGCUAAAGCGCCGCAGCAAAAACCUUUGGCAAAGGGUGCUGGAUCGCAGCAAUCCUAAGCGCGACAGCCUUGUGCGAGCCCUGUUGCAUCUACAAGUCCAAGAUACACCUGUCAGCAAUUUUGCACACAUUACGAUGCUCCUCACCGUGAUGGGGAACACGGAUCUUAUUUCACAAACGCAAGCGAUUAUCCACAAUCUGCUAAAGAGAAGUCUCAGAUGCAAUAAUGACCAGAUUAAAUCUCUACAGCGCUUUUCUGUCCAGUGUCUGGUCAACAGCCAACUGCUAGAGAACGAGAUCGAUCAGACUUACGGCGAUCAGCUGAGCACAUACGAUCCCACAAUAACCGGAGCAGUUUUUGUUGAAGGAAAAAUGUUGGAAUUGGCAAAGAAAAUGUUUGUCCAAGGAAAGUACUGGAGGGACGCCGUACAUGUGCAGGUACAGCUGUCGCAAGGGAGCCAAGACUUCCUUGCUGUGAAAGAAUUAGCAAUCAUGAGCGGAGAUCCCGGCUUACUGGCUGAAGUUGGCAAGAUCUGCUUGGACAACGGUCAACUGAAUUAUGCCAUACAGUGCUUCUUAGAUUCGAAAUGCUUCACCUAUCAAGAAGAAAUAUGCUUAUUAGCACAAAAGGACGAUGCAAAUUGUGAAUGGAAUUUACUGAUCCGUUUUUUGGAAGGCGCGCAACCUAUAAAAAAGAGCGGCUGUAUUAUGGUUACGCUGGCGUUGGCGUAUGGAAGGGCACAUCGUCUGGCGGACUUGGACAAACUCUUGACUGGAGGGACCGGAUCAGCGGCUUCUCCUGAUGCUGAUGCUAACCUUUGUCGAAUAUGCGUUGAUAGCCCGAAACAGAAUGGUAUUUGUGCCAUGCGGUCACCUAGCCACCUGUGAAGAAUGUUCCAGGAAUGUCGAUUUGUGUCCAAUUUGUCGCAGCCCAGUGCAGCAAAAGAUCAAAACAUACGACGCGUGAAUUGACAUAAUUAAAGCCCCUCCCGCCGAAGCGAGUUACAUUCGCCUAUGCAAUUUAACUAUUGUCGCCUCCAUACAUGUGCGGCUGGAGUGAACGGCAGCAGCGAGUAUUUCCAAUUUAAAAAAAGAACCUCUGGAACCGGUACCGGGUAAAAUGAACAGAAACAAAACGAUACAGUCACCUGCAAAGCGUUCUCCGAGUACUCAGGCUUGCCACAAAGCAAAGGAUGCAUCGCUUUCACGUGUGUUAUCAUAUGUUUCGUGUUAGCCCUGGCGAUGGCAUCACAUCCCUGCAGAAAGAACCCGAAUGUUUCAGUGAUUACAAGCAGCAUGCUAAAAAGCAGGAAUGACCUGUUCCAGGGUUCAAGGUUGCAGACGUAAUUCAAGCAACGAUUCUGCAAAACACACACUCAAUAUUCUGCAAACUAUCAUAACAUCCAUGCGGCAAGCGUUCGGCAUUUCCUGUGGGCCAAUUGGCCACAUUACAGUAAAUGCUACGAGGCUGCACGUACCCUUGCGACGGUUGGCUGGAUGAACAUAUCUGGAAUCAACUGGCUUUGAAACGGCUGAGUCACAUCGAGUGUCCAUUCCGGAAACGUUUUACGCCCAUCCAGAUGCUUG